GUAGUGCAGAUGAUGACUGAGGGGACGGAUGGAGGUCGUCGGUUCUUUAGAUGCCCGCGAGCAUGGUCUUCCAAGGCUCCGGAAGGCUACAAGUUCGCUAGAUGGGUCGAUCCUAUUCAUAUUCAUCUGUAUGCCGAGUACAUCUACUAUCUGCAGAAUCGUAUCUUCGAUCUAGAAAGGGAAGUGAGCGCCGCUGAUGUGGAAGAUAAUAUCAACAGUGAUGAUACCGAUUCACAGGAGGUACUCUGAACUGAUCCCUAUUGCAAGUGCCCAUAUCACAAGAACAAGGGUCAUCCAACUCCUCCUCCCCCGCAGCCGCCGACAAGCAUCGGAGGAUACUAUGGAGAAGGUUCAACUCAGUUUGCGCGGUGGGAUCAGUACCAAGUCCAUUGCCACUUUCUGUAACAUUAGAUCGUUUGUCGUGAUUUAAAUUCCCUAAGCCAUGUUAGGUUUAGUUGUGGCACCUCUCCCGUUACAUGCCACUCUUUGAAUUGUGUUGUUUCGAUUCCCUAAGGCAUGUUAGAUUUAGUUAUGGCACUUGUGCUAUUACAUGCCACUGCAACAGUUCUGUAAUUUAAAUUUCCUAAGUCACCAUGCCUUCCAUUCCAUGUCACAAUGACUCGCUAUGGUACCCUCCUCCCAAAGUUCACAUCCAAACAUAUUUUUCACAGAAUGAAAGGAGAUCCUU